rnacentral:lncRNA from 1 species
AAAUUUCUAUAGAUACAAACUCUGAUGUUACUGUAUAUGACUAAGAGGUAAUAUAAAAAUGAAUUUAAUUCUGAGACUUUAAGCCUAUUUUCAGACUAUAGAAGGUACCUUUUCAAUAUCUUAAAAUUUUUUUUGGUUUACUUUUGUUUUUUAAGACAGGGUCUCACAAUAAUAGCCCUGGCUGGCAUAGAGUUCAUUGACCAGACUGCCCUUGAACUUAUACAAGUCCUCUAGCCUCUGCAUAUGCCUGCUGGGAUUAAAGGCACAAAACCACCAUGCCCAGCUUCUUUUUAUUAUCUUUAAAGCUAGUUUACAUGUUAUUUCUUGGGCGGAGGGGGUUGGUUUUUAAAAACUAUUAACUCUGCUGCAGUUUGAUUUUUGGAGUUUUAUAUCUGCCCCCACCCCAUAGUAAUUUGAUUGGGAAUUAACCUUAUAAUUCUAUCCACAACACAACCUAUAUAGGAAAAUAUUUUCUAUUUCUAUCUUUUAGCAAUGCCAAAUUUCUCUUGAUCAUUUAUUCUUUGUUGUAUUGAAAAACAUAACAGUUUAAAGGCAGCACUGUACUGACACUUCUUAGCACUGUCACCUGUGUAAUUAUUGAAGGAAGGAGAAGAACAGUAGUGGCUUUGAGAUAGAAUUUUACAAUUAGCAGACGUUUCUUUCUAGUUUACUAUUUAAGCUUCAGAUGCUUACACGGCAGUUUUAAGCCUCUCAGUUUGACAGAGUAUACAGCUUACUGUCAAGUUUCAGAGCUUAGAAAGUUUAUCAGUAGAAUUAAAAUUUUUGAUGUAAUUAACUAGAUAGUAAUUCUCUUAAUGAGAUCAUUUUUAGUCUUAAUUUAUUACUGUAUACAAGUUGCAGAAUGCUUCAUAUAUAAUCACUUCUAGUAUCACAAACUCUUAAAUCAUAUUUUGAGGGACAUUUUUUCUUCAUUACACUUUAUGAAGAAAAAUGUUCAAAUUCUGAAGGGGCUGAUAAUGUUUGAGGACUAAGAAGUAUAGAUGGUCUUUUUUCAUUCUAAUUUAUGUAUUUUCUGAUUGUUCAUUUGAGACAAGGUCUCUAUGUAACCUUGGCUGGCCUGGAACUCAGAGCUCCACCAGCCUGAGUGCUGGGAUCAUAGGUGCUGCCACCCUGCCCAGUUAAAUGAUCAUUUGACCCUGUUUUCUGUCUGGGCACAUUUUGUAUAGUUCUUUCCAGGUACAGAAUGCUAGGGUUUGUUUUUUGUUUUUUGGGUUUUUUUCAAGGUUGAGUUCCAUGGUGGGCAUAUAAUAUGUAUGUCUGAGUAGAAAUUUGGUUUAACAGUUAAGG